rnacentral:rRNA from 1 species
UGGGGGAUAUUGGACAAUGGGGGGAACCCUGAUCCAGCCAUGCCGCGUGUGUGAAGAAGGCCUUAUGGUUGUAAAGCACUUUAAGCGAGGAGGAGGCUACUUUAGUUAAUACCUAGAGAUAGUGGACGUUACUCGCAGAAUAAGCACCGGCUAACUCUGCGCCAG